UCCUUGUAGGAUAUGAACCCUCUGAACCUCCUAGGACUCCACAGUUUCUAUCUCAUAAGUCCUGAAGAAGUCGUGAGCUUGAUUUACAAGUUGUGGAAAAUAGCAGGCACAACAAGUUUGAACAACUAAAGUAUGUUGAGUUCAAAUCUUCCUAGGACUCAGCUCUUUUUCCAACUGCUGGUUGAAAUUUUAGAUUAUCUUUCCUGCCUGGGUUAUAUCUGCAGAGCAGCCGACACUCAUUCUUAUAAAUGUGUUUAUGUUUGAGAUUGGAUGUAGUGGAGGAUGGAAGGAUAUAAAAUGAGAGAAGGGAACCACUGGAGAUUUUGAGAUGGUCUAUUUAUUGAGAGCAACUUGGAUCCUAAAUUUGUCACCAGCUCUGGAUUUCUCUCCCAAGCCAGGAUUGUGUGAAGUCAUUACAAUUUAAAGCAUACUGUCGGUCGGUCAUUCCCUGGACUCCAACUUCUGUUUCACCCCCAACAUACAGAGUAGAGAAGAAAUGAACGACUACAGGGAGAUUGCUUUCUCCUACUUAUCAAGACAGAGUGGUGUAGAUUCACUUCUUUUGGGGGCAUGUGUUCCAAGAAGAAGCAGAUUUCCAUUACAGACUUGAAACUGAGGUGUGUGAGGAGCACACAGAUAUCUUCCUUUGAACUUUGAAGGAGAUCAUUUGCUGUUAACAUAAAAAUAAGACUAUUCACAAAUCAUUAGCUCUGAAGAAAGAUGACAUCAACAUUGUGAGGUACUCCGCCUGUUGGACAAAUACAAAAAGAAUCAAUUGUGGCAUACCUCUUGACUAAAGAGCAUCAGUGAAUAACUGCCUGCAGGGC
rnacentral:lncRNA from 1 species